rnacentral:rRNA from 1 species
CCUACGGGCGGCAGCAGUCGAGAAUCAUUCACAAUGGGGGAAACCCUGAUGGUGCGACGCCGCGUGGGGGAAUGAAGGUCUUCGGAUUGUAAACCCCUGUCAUGUGGGAGCAAAUUAAAAAGAUAGUACCACAAGAGGAAGAGACGGCUAACUCUGUGCCAGCAGCCGCGGUAAUCCAGAGGUCUCAAGCGUUGUUCGGUAUCACUGGGCGUAAAGCGUGCGUAGGCUGUUUCGUAAGUCGUGUGUGAAAGGCGCGGGCUCAACCCGCGGACGGCACAUGAUACUGCGAGACUAGAGUAAUGGAGGGGGAACCGGAAUUCUCGGUGUAGCAGUGAAAUGCGUAGAUAUCGAGAGGAACACUCGUGGCGAAGGCGGGUUCCUGGACAUUAACUGACGCUGAGGCACGAAGGCCAGGGGAGCGAAAGGGAUUAGAUACCCUGGUAGUC